rnacentral:lncRNA from 1 species
UUUUAAAUCAAAAGUUAUGAUUUUAUUUUUAAUAUACCAGAAAAAAAAUAUUUCUUUUAAUGUCGUGAAAUCAGCACUUGAAAAUGACACUUCCAACAUUGCUGUGAUUUGCUCUGUGAGGCGUAUAUGGGUGGUCUUUUAGUUGAAUAGAGGCACUGGGUCCUCUAAGAAGCAGAAUCUUCCAGUGGUUUUCCAGGUAGCAGUAAGCAACCUCCUGCCUGAACAUGCCCAGAGAGCAGACCUGUUUGAAUUGACAGGCUUGGGCAGCACUAUGAGGCUACUUCUGGAGCAGUCUAGGGUUCUGUCUUCUGGGAAAACGUCUCCAGAGACACCAAGCAUUGAGAGAAUGACAGUGUUCAAUACCAGCAUGAGUCGGGACCUUGAAAUCCUGGCUUAAAUAUGUUGCAAAAAUGGCCUGUGAUUUAUGCAACCAGUUUCUUUAACCAGUUGCUUCAGGAACUGUUUACUACAAUGUAGUUUCGUGUUUGAAUUUCUAUGAAGUGCAUCUGAUGUGAAGACUUUUACUUGCCCAACAUGAAAUUAAACUGCCAUUCUUAAGACUUCCCCAGCCCCCCUGAACUCCACCACAGAUAGGUUCCCACUGUCUGUUUCUUUAGUGCUAGAAUAACUUGUUUCACUUUUUUUAAAGUAGAAUAAUUCAGGAGGAAGGGAGACCUGGGGCCUAUUUUUCCCUCUCUGUGAGCCCUGAAUUUUCAAAGUAUCUGAGGAUGAAGCAAGUAACUUGGUGAUUCAACAGGCCUGUAAAUAGUCUUUGAUGCUCUGCACAGGGGUACCUAACUGGUCUCUUUAGCUAUGGGUUUUGCCAUAUGGCUCAAAGAUGUUUAUAAUUGGCAUGUUACAACUGGCAUUCAAGAAAAUGCUAGAACUACAAUGAUUCUUUUUUUUGCUUAAGUACUGGGUACCAGCAUACAGAGGCUGUUGGUUCACUGCAAGACUGGGACCUACCACUUCAUCCUGAUUGUCAGCACAAAAUACAGUAUCAUUGCUUUAUCAGCUCUCACUUUAAUGUGUAUGCAACAGAGGCCAAAACCCUGUGGUGCAUUCUUAUCAAAAUCUCUUUUGGUUGGUGAUGGGUCUGAGGCACAAAGAAUUGGUUCCUGUAUACAGCUAGAAAAAGGACAGAAUACCACGUUACAGGAGACAAUGACUCACAGCACGAAAAUAGGCUCUACUACCAUCCUGAAUUGAUAGCAAAAUAUUUAUUAUUGAAAACAAAAAGAUCGGACCACUAGACUUUCAUCAUAAAGCUCUCACACAAUUGUACUUUUCAGGAUGGAAACAUUUUCAGGGAAAGAAGUGUCUAAGAGACAGGCACAGACCAUGCACACACAGCUCAAAGCACUGAACUCAGGGAGGUGGUCUGUUUGACCAUCUCCACUCUCCUAACAGCCCUCUUGAGUCAGCACAUGACCAACCCAACAACUAUGUUGAAGAUUCAUUAACCAAACUUG